GGGCUUGUACCGGUUUCGACGGGGAUCAUGCAGUCGGAGAAGCUAUCCGCAGGGUGAUGCGUCAAAUCCCAAACCUAAAUAUAAACGCUGAAGAUUACGAUUUAGCACUUGCUGCCUAAGCGCAGCUUUGUCUCCCUUAAAGUACCUGUCCUUUAAGACCGAGGCAUCGACCUGACAGGAAACGACAUAUGCAAAGCUUUGAGCAUGUGUACGUAUAAUGAAGCUCAGCUCUCCUGCAGCGGUGUCUGCCACACAGCAGGGAAGCGAAACAAUGCCGACAGACUAUGAUAGUAGAAGUACGAGGAAUUGGUUUUCGGACAGGGGUUCGAUUCCCCUCAGGUCCAUAC
rnacentral:tmRNA from 1 species